CUUCCUGUUGUCAGUGGCCGAGAGACCGCAUCGUCGGCUCGGAGGCUGAGGGGCUGCCGCAGCCGGGAGCCCCCCUCGCCUCGCUCCUCGCUCCGCUUGGUGUCAUGUGAUUCUCUGAGGGAGCAGCUGCGUGAGUGGAGAUGCUUUCAGUGGUGGAGAAUGGACUGGACCCCCAGGCUGCCAUCCCGACACAUCAUCUCAGAGUUGGAGCACCUGACGUUUGUCAACAUGGAUGUGGGCCGCUGCCGGGCAUGGCUGCGGCUGGCCCUGAACAAUGGCCUGAUGGAGUGCUACCUGAAGCUGCUGCUGCAGGAGCAGGCCCGCUUGCAACUACAGCGGAAGGAAUCUCUGGAUUCCAUUUCCCAUUCUUCAGGCUCUGAAGACAUCGAAGUCCAUCACUCGGGCCAUAAGAUACGGAGGAACCAGAAGCCGACUGCCUCCUCCCUCAGCCUGGACACGGCCAGUUCAUCCCAGCUGUCCUGCAGCCUAAACUCUGAUAGCUGCUUACUCCAAGAGAAUGGCUCCAAGAGUCCAGACCAUUGCGAGGAGCCCAUGUCCUAUGACUCAGACCUGGGCACAGCAAAUGCUGAGGACUCAGACCAGUCUCUGCAAGAAAAAACAAGAGCUGGAUCUCAGAGGAUGACUUCUACCGGCCUUCCCGGGAGCAACCCCUGAAGAGUGCUUCAGACCACCCAAUAGCUUCUUACAGGGGGACUCCAGAGUCAAGGCCUGGUCUCCACAGGCAUUUUUCUCAAGAACCAAGAAAAAACUGCUCCCUGGGGGCGUUAGACCAAGCGUGUGUACCUUCCCCAGGAAGAAGGCAAGCCCAGGCAGCCCCAUCCCAGGGGCAUAAGAGUUUCCAGGUGGUACACCGGAGGCAGAUGGGACUGUCCAACCCAUUCCAGGGUCUCAUGAAGCUGGGCACCGUGGAGCGGCAGGGGGCAAUGGGCAUCUGGAAGGAGCUCUUCUGCGAGCUCUCCCCACUGGAGUUCCGCCUCUACCUGAGCAACGAGGAGCACACCUGUGUGGAGAACUGCUCCCUGCUUCGCUGUGAGUCUGUGGGGCCAGCCCACAGUGACGGGCGCUUUGAGCUGGUCUUCUCUGGCAAGAAGCUGGCCCUGCGCGCCUCCUCCCAGGACGAAGCUGAGGACUGGCUGGACCUGGUGCGGGAGGCCCUGCAGAAGGUCCGGCCUCAGCAGGAGGAUGAGUGGGUGAACGUGCAGUACUCAGACCAGCCUGAGGAACCCCCCGAGGCGCCCCAGGGCUGCCUCUCUCCCUCAGACCUGCUCUCGGAGCCCGCGGCCCUCCAGGGCACACAGUCUGACUGGUCGUCCGCCCAGGUUCCAGAGCUAGAUGCCAUCAAGGAGUCCCUGCUGUACUUGUACAUGGACAGGACCUGGAUGCCCUAUAUAUUUUCUCUGCCCUUGGAGGCUCUGAAAUGUUUCCGCAUCAGGAACAAUGAGAAGAUGCUGAGUGACAGCCACGGCGUGGAGACCAUCCGGGACAUCCUGCCAGACACCAGCCUUGGGGGCCCAUCCUUCUUCAAAAUCAUCACGGCCAAGGCUGUCCUGAAGCUGCAGGCCGGAAACGCCGAGGAAGCCGCCCUGUGGAGGGAUCUGGUCCGCAAAGUCCUGGCAUCCUACUUGGAGACAGCCGAGGAGGCGGUGACCCUGGGCGGGAGCCUGGAUGAAAACUGUCAGGAGGUGCUGAAAUUUGCCACCCGGGAGAAUGGCUUCCUGCUGCAGUACCUGGUGGCCAUCCCCAUGGAGAAAGGCCUUGACUCCCAAGGCUGCUUCUGCGCAGGCUGCUCCCGGCAGAUCGGCUUCUCCUUUGUACGACCCAAGCUCUGUGCCUUCUCUGGCCUCUAUUACUGUGACAUCUGCCACCAAGACGAUGCCUCAGUGAUUCCGGCCAGGAUCAUCCACAACUGGGACCUCACCAAGCGCCCGAUCUGCAGGCAGGCCCUGAAGUUUCUGACGCAGAUCCGGGCCCAGCCCCUCAUCAACCUGCAGAUGGUGAACGCGUCUCUGUACGAGCAUGUGGAGCGGAUGCACCUCAUUGGGAGGAGCCGGGAGCAGCUGAAGCUCCUGGGGGAUUACCUGGGCCUGUGCCGGAGUGGCGCCCUGAAGGAGCUCAGCAAGAGGCUCAACCACCGGAAUUAUCUCUUGGAGUCUCCGCAUAGGUUCCGUGUUGCUGACCUCCGGCAGAUCGCAGAUGAGGUAUAUGAAGGAUUCCUCAAGGCCCUGAUUGAAUUUGCCUCCCAGCAUGUCUACCACUGCGACCUGUGCACCCAGCGCAGCUUCAUCUGCCAGAUCUGCCAGCACCACGACAUCAUCUUCCCCUCUGAGUUUGACACCACAGUCAGGUGUGCCAAGUGCAAGACCGUCUUCCACCAGAGCUGCCAGGCUGUGGUGAAGAAGGGCUGCCCCCGCUGUGCUCGCUGACGCAAGUACCAGCAACAGAACGUUUUCGCCUGAUGCCCCUCUGCUGAUCCCACUCUGAAGGCCGGGGGUGAGUGUGGCUCAGCCAUCCCAGCUGGGUUUCCUAUCAGCCCAGGAUACUCACCGUGUCACAGCUGUGUCCCCUUGUCAGGAAGACCUCAGAUGUGACCAGAGCACUGGCCUCCUACAGAAAGCCCAGGAAGUCCCCAUGAUGUCCCCUGGCCCUCCCCCCACCCCUCUGCUGCAGGAGGCGUGGCCACCACCAGAUGCUCCCUGUCUGGGGCAGGCAGGGCCGUUUACUCACCAGGCCCUGGCUCACCAGCGUCCCGGCGCCUCCGUUAGGGCUGGCCAAACACUGUGGAAAGGGGACUUGGGGAACAUUUUCAAUUCCACAUUCCUGAUUAAAAGGUCUGGUUUUUUAAGGUGGGUUUUUCCCAUUCAUAUUUCAACAGAAAGUAUUUUUUAUUCUUGACCGUAUGCGAGUCACCCAUGAAAUCCAGACAUUUUCACCCCCAGCGGAUGCACAGGAGCCUCUCAGGCCUGUCCUAGAGGCAGCGGGUGGCUGUUGGGCAGGCCACUGCUGGGACAGGGCCUGUGGGCCCACCCAGUGCCUUUCCUGGCCCUCACUGCCAGUGCCAAACCGCCCCUCAGCAGGGCAGGGCCAGUCCUGGUGACCCCACUUCCUCUCUGUCUCCUCUUUACUCCCCACCCCAGUGCGUCUCACCUGCUGAGCCCACCCCUUUCUCAGCGUCAGAGCCCCUAGCUCUUCUCUAGCCUGGGGCCUUGGCCCCAUUAGGAGAAGGAGAAAUGACUGGAAACCAGCACUUUCAGCACUAUGAGCCCUCCUCGGUUUAGGGAGGGUCGCCGUCUUGCCCACCCCCAAUCCCCGUGCCCUCCUCACCCCUCUACAGACAGGGGCACUGCUGCAGAUGCUCCAGGCCCACCUUGGUGGGUGCCCGGGGUCACCCUCUCUGCCUGACUGACCCCUGCCAGGGCACAGAUAGGCAGGACCCUAGAGACAGCAGGCAGCUGGGCCCUGCACUGUGGAGAAAUGACCUGGUCCUUCGCCCUAAGCUGUGCAGGGCAUGCGGGGGAGCUGCCCUGUGGAUGCAGCCGCCGCCUCACAAAGCUAUGAAUUCCCAAAGCAUCACUGAACUUGCCCAGCCAGGACACUGGAGACUGAAGAACUUCCCCGGAGCAGGACUGCCUUUGAAGGGGCCUUGGUGCUGGGGUGGGAGCCUGGAAUUGUUUUUGAAGUGAAGUUCAGACCCUCCAGGCUUCAGGGAAAUGUGGGUUUGCUGGUCUCUCUGUCGCCUUCUCCCACCUCUCCUGGACCCAGCGGGCCCUCAGUCCUAGCUGUCUUACCUGCGCUCAGCUUGGAGUCUGAGGCCUCAGGUGGAGAUCCACCUGUCACUGUCAGAGAUGAGCCCACCCCCACCCCUCCCUGGGGGUGAUCAGCUGCUGAGUCACCCACCCAGCUUUGGAGCUGGAUGCCUGUGCAGAACAGAGGUGGCGGUGGCAGGCAGGUGGAGGCUGUGCAUAGCUUCUCCCGGUCAUGGCGCACACCUGUGCCCAGAUGCCAAUACCUCCUAAGCCAGGAGCUGGGUUAUGCACCUGCCAUGACCACAAGCCUGGCCUGGUCAGAGCCCUCAUUGCCCCAUCCCUGAGUGGGCAGGAGUCUGGCCUGGGGAGGGCUUAGGCCUGUGAGGAUUCUUCCCGAAGGCGCCCUUGGAAACAGACUAAUUCUCAGGGAAAUCAGAUUGCGGUAAAAUGGGAUGGAAACAGACAACAUUCAGAUCUGCGAUUUCCUGUCCUUGAAGGCCCCUUUCAGAUUACAAGUUGGCACCCUCUGCCCAUCUAGGUGCCACAGCUUCCCCCAAGGACAAUAGAUGGUAGGGCCAGAGAAGAGAAGAGAAACUGGGGGAGGGAGGCCCAGUGGAGGGCCAUGGCACAUGACCUGGUUCUGCCCUGCCAGUGGGCUCAGCCCCUCUCCAUCCUCAGCCAAGCGCCUCUGAGGGCACUUGUUUCCCCUUCUCACCCAUGUUUUUUUGAGACGGAGUCACUCUGUCACCCAGGCUGGAGUGCAGUGGUGUGAUCUCGACUCACUGCAACCUCCGCCUCCCAGGUUCAAGCAAUUCUCUUGCCUCAGCCUCCCGAGUAGCUGGGACUUCCCCUUCUCUUCUGCCUGAAGGAGGACGGGUGGUUUGGAGAUUCCAGUCCAAACCCCAAGAGCUCAUCACAUAAUAAAAGUGUCAUAAUAGCUGAUAUAGGCAGGCACUGUGGCUCACGCCUGUAAUCCCAGCAUUUUGGGAGGCCGAGGCAGUCAGAUCAUUUGAGGUCAGGAGUUCAAGACCAGCCUGGCCAAUAUAGAGAAACCCCGUCUCUGCAGAAAUACAAAAAUUAGCUGGGCAUGAUGGUGGGUGCCUGUAAUCACACCUACUCAGGAAGCUGAGGCAGGAGAAUCACUUCAACCCAGAGACAGAGGUUGCAGUGAGCCGAGAUUGUGCCACUGCACUCCAGCCUGGGCGACAGAGCCAGACUCCAUCUCAAAAAAAAAAAAAAAAAAAAAAAUA
rnacentral:lncRNA from 1 species